AGAGAAACGGAGAGAAAGCACCGGUAGAGAGAGAGAGAGAGAGAGAGAUCGAAGAGAGAGAAAAAAAAAGGAGCUCUAGUCUUGUGUUAAGAAUUAGGGAGAAGGCUCAAGAAAUUCAAUCAUUGAAGAUGAUAGGUCGGACGCUGCACCGUUAGUGCAUUGUAGCACAUGUUUCGAGGAGCCCACUGUGGUCAGGCACCGGAGCAAAGUUAGCAGUGUCGACCUGAACCCGUUUUGUCAAGCCAACCUAUUGUGCCUCACUGCGAGGUUCCGAACCGUUAAUGUCAAGGCCUGUUUUUGGGUGCUCUCAUAUGAAGUCAAGUGAAUGUUAUAUAAAUCGUUUUGGCUUUGGGAUUUAAUUCCCUAACAUCUGUUUUAUUUUUUUUUGUAUAUAACGUCUUAUGGACUUAAGUGUUUGUGCAUAUAUCAAUAUAUGAAACUUAUGUUACUCAGUUAAGUCCUCACAGCUCUUUGGACAUUCUAUUUUAAUAUUUACAGGCUUCCGCCGGCCCCUUUAUUGUACUACUGGGCAUUUGGUAAUCACGGAUUACUGGCCAGUUAUGAUGCUAAACCCUUAGAGGCAAGUUUGGGUCGUGACAAGCACCAAUGGCAACACUAAGUGCAAACCAAACACCAAUACCAAUGGCAACACCAAAUCAAGCUUCAGCCAUUCCAAGGGCAGCUUCAGCAAUUCCAAGGGCACCAAAUCCAUCUGCAUUAAGGGCAAGUUCACAAACACAAAGGGAAACUUCAACGACAAAGGCAACUUCAACAUCAAGGGCAACAAUAGCAGGAGGAACAAGGACAACACCAACAGCAACAAGAAGUGCAGCAAUAACAACAAAAGAAGCAUCGUCACAAACAUCUGAAGCAACAAGGGGAGCAACAACAGCACCAACACCAACCUUAUUUACAUGGAGAUGAAGGAAUGUUGUGACCUUGCCCUCACUUCAAAAUGCAUCUGCCUCUAAGGAGAAGAACCUAAAGUAGGGUUGCUGUUUAUUUUGAUUAUCAAACGCUUUUGACAAUGUGGCAUGUUUUGUUUAUGUAGUUAUGGAUACUGCCAACAUGUUUGCAUCAUGAAUAUGUGGCCAUUUUGACUUAGUGGAUACAAACAAUGUAUUUUAUGAAAUGAAUUAUGGCCAUUUGUGUGUUCA